UACGAAGGGGGCGAGCGUUGUUCGGAAUUACUGGGCGUAAAGGGCGCGCAGGCGGCCUUAGAAGUCAGAUGUGAAAGCCCCGGGCUCAACCUGGGAAUGGCAUUUGAUACUCUGAGGCUGGAGUACGGGAGAGGAGAGUGGAAUUCCCAGUGUAGAGGUGAAAUUCGUAGAUAUUGGGAAGAACACCGGUGGCGAAGGCGGCUCUCUGGACCGUAACUGACGCUGGGGCGCGAAAGCGUGGGGAGCAAACAGG
rnacentral:rRNA from 1 species